UACGGGGGGGGGCGAGCGUUGUUCGGAAUUACUGGGCGUAAAGGGCGCGUAGGCGGUCUGCUAAGUUGGGUGUGAAAACUCUGGGCUUAACCCAGAGCCUGCAUUCAAAACUGACAGGCUAGAGUUCUGGAGGGGGUAGCGGAAUUCCUGGUGUAGCGGUGAAAUGCGUAGAUAUCAGGAGGAACACCUGUGGUGUAGACAGCUUACUGGACCACUUCUGACGCUGAGGCACGAAAGCGUGGGUAGCAAACAGG
rnacentral:rRNA from 1 species